rnacentral:lncRNA from 1 species
UAUCCAAAUGUCCACAAAAAUCCAUUAAUACAAAUUAUGAUAACUUCACUGAUCAGGAAUAUAUUUAGCAUUGUCUCAACACAUAUUUGAAAAGACACAUCCCCUCAGUCUCAGUAGGUUACCUUUGUAAUCUUCCCUAAUGCCAGCAAUGGAUCUACGAACCAACCUGCAGGCAACAUGCAAGAGCUCUUUCAAUCCAUCAAGAACUUCAAAAGAUAGAAACAUACUCAUUAAAAUGAAAUUAUAUGAGGAAAUACAGGUCUUUUAGUCCAAUUUUUCAGCCAAAGCUCAAAAUAUUACAAGCUAUCACAAAUUUACAACACAAAAUAUCUGUUGUAGACAGCUUGAUACAUCCAGUUGAAAAGAUAUAUAGGCACGAAAGUCCAGCCCCAAUUUCGUUAAGCUGUUUUAGUCUUUGUAAUAACAUUCUUUAUUCUUAAAUGGAACUUACCCAAAAUUUUUAACUUUCCUGUUGACAAACAGAGGCUUAUCCAUAAAGGAUGCAGCAAAGAAAGGGUAUCUGCUUGCCAAAAUUACAAAAAGUGACUAAACUAAUUGGCUCCACACCUAACCAAAAUAUCUCAAAUCUCUUUUUGAAACGAAGGAGAGACAUAAAGAUUCGAUGUACGUAAAUUAGAAAACAGACCUGUCUAAAAUCUUGACAAUAUACAAGCCAACAAUAGUAUUUGGGUACAUAAAAAUAGCAAACACAAAAUAAGCUAUUCACAAACAUAGAUCUCUCAGCGGCAACUCAUAUCCAACAAUCAUAGUUCAGUACCAGCAAUUGGCCAGAACAGAGAAAUACUAAUAACAGAGAACUCAGGUCUGAGAACUAAAAAGUGUUAAUACCACUAGUUACAAUUGGCCAAAACUCUAAAUAGGAAAUUAAAGGUAAAUUACCUCAAACAUCUCCGAAGUCAAGAAAUAAGCAACACAAUCUCUUGUUUAUCCUUCAAUUUCUGAAAAAAAAAAUAAAAUAAAAAAAUUAAGAAAUAGUAAGACCGAAUUUAAAUAUUAUGUGUGAUAAUUUUAUUUUUUUGUUACCUUUUCCCUUUUCUGCACUCUGUGUAACUUACGACACCAAUCUCCAGCACACAUCAACAUUUCUACAGUUUCUGGAGCCAAGGAAGCACGGUAAGAGUCGAUUACUCUGGUUCCAGUACUAAAUGUAGCUUCUGAAGCUACAGUGCUUAUUGGAAUGGCUAAAAUGUCAGCAGCCAUCUUGGGAAGAAUCUUGUAUUUCGUUGUGUCUUUCCACCACUUCAAGGCAUCCAAAUUCACAAUGUCUAUUGUUGAAUCAUCUGCAGCUGUGAGGAGACCAUCUUCAAAGUAGGUAUCCAACUCAUUCUUGAUGGGUUGAACACUCUCAAUGGUAGCAAUAUAGGUCAGAAAUUCACUCAUACCCGAAACAUGGGACACUGAUGAAGAUGCACUACUGCUGCUCUUGGUUGGAUGAUCAUUGUCGAUUAGUAGUUGAGAAGAUGAUCCACUUUGGCCUGAAACAGGUAUCUCCACAUAUUCAUCAUAUAGGUCAUACAAGGCUUGUCGAACCUUGCCUAUAUUGCUUUGCACUUCAUGUGGAGGAUAAAGCAAUGGAAAGCAAUAGUUUAUAACUCUCAUCUUGCAUCUGGGAUCCAAAAUAACUGCUAUAGACAUUAACAAGUUACACUCUCCCCAGUACUUAUCAAAUUUCAUCUUCAUCUUUUGCACCAUUGACCGGACAAAAUCAUCUUCAUCAUCAACCUUACUAUCUAGUAGUACUUUAAUCCGACAAACUUCAUUUAGAUAUAAAUUUGCAGUCGGAUAAUCACUACCAGAUAUCACAUGAGUUGCUGUCCAAAAAGCUUUUAAAAUAUUGCACACUUUUGUAACCUUUUCCCAAUCUUCCAAGGUUGGACAGAAAUCAUAAUUUGGCUCUCUAUCUCUGUACCUGGGAAAAACAUCUUGAUACUCCAGUGCACAAGUUAGCAUCUCAUAAGUAGAAUUCCACCUUGUUUUGCAGUCAUAAAUUAGUAUUUUUUCUGGCAACUGCAGCUGGCGUACAAUUUCACCAAAUUGAAGGCGUCUUCCAUCUGUCUUAUUGAUAAACUCCACACUGUCCCUGAUUGUUCCAACUAUUUCCUUGAUUUGACUAAGUCCAUCUUGAACCAUUAAAUUCAGUAUAUGCGCACAACAUCUCACAUGAAACAACUUUCCUUUUGCUAAUAGACACUUGUUUCGAGAGAAAGUGUCCUUCAAACAUCUCAGUGCACUGUCAUUAUUUGAGGCAUUAUCGACUGAGACUGUAUAAAUCUUGCUCUCAAUUCCCCAAUUCGUUAAACACUUGAAAAUAGCAUCCGCAAUUUGGAUGCCCCGACAUGGAGGAAGGACGUGCACAAAGUUGAGAACCCGUUUCUGCAAUCUCUAAUUGCUAUCAAUCCAAUGCCCGGUUAUGACCAUAUACUCAUUUUUUGGUUCUUGGACUUCCAAAGAUCUGUAGUCAAGCUAAUUUUCUUGACUUUCUUUAAUUGGUUCUUCAAUUUUGUCUUCUCUCUUUCAUAAACUGAUGUGCAGUCGUUUUUGUUCAUAGUCCGAUUGAUUCUUUGCCAUUCCGGCAUCCCUCUUUUUUGCAUCAAAUUGAAACCUUCUUCCUUCACAAUUGAAAAUGGAUGCUCAUGCAUAAGCACCCAUUCAGCAGUAGCCUCUCUCAUGGCUGCCAUAUCAAACCUCCCAGAGUGAAGGUAGGUUUGAGAAGCUUCGGCAGAAUCAGCAGAUGGGAAAUUGAUCUUUGUUUGUUGUGUUGCUUUUUUGAGCUUUUGCAAUCGGAUAGCACAUGACUUCCUAUGCUUCAGCAAACUUGAAGUUGUACUAGUUUUCGUCUUCUUGAACUUUGCAUGGCAAUGAAUACACUCCGACAUAAGAGUUUUUUGAUGGCCAACUUCAACAUCUUUGAAGUCAUCCCAUGCUACUGAUUUUUUUAUUCUCUUUUUUUUUUUCUGAAAAGCAUCCAAGCCAUCAUCCGCAUCAGCUUCUUCCACGACUGUUUGAGUGGUUGUAUGUGUAUCACCUUCUAAUGUUUCAUCUUCACUCCCUAAUUCUUCAUCACCAAGAGAUAAUUCCAGCUCUUCGUCAAUGUUAACAGCAAUACCCUUGUCAGAGAUAUUCACCGGACUAGCGGAAUCACCAACUGAUCUAUCAAUUGGUGAAGACUACUCUUGGUUGGACGUAUCCAUCUUAUAUUCUCAAUUUCUUUUAACUAUACCAAAAAAAAAAAGGAACAUGAGCAGCAUUCUCUAGUCCCAAAACAGAUUACUAUUACUAGUAAACAAGUUAGUAGCAGUAAUUAUUUUCAAGAAACAAUAGGACAGCAAGGCUCAUAAUGACAAGAACAUACAUGACCAUGGAAUGAUAAUAAGUAGCUUGUACUGUCAAGUGUCAACACAGUUUUCACCCCCAAAGAAACAAGUAAUUAAACAGAUGUCUCCUUAAAUGCCACUAUCCCAUAGUUACUACAAGAUCUGGAGCAAUAUCAAGCCUCUUAGCACUGUCUGCAUUUCAUUUUAAGCAUUAUUAUUAUCAGAAUCCAAAAAAUUAUACUCCCUCCGUCCCAAAAUAAGGGACGUUUUUAGGGAUUCUAACUUAUUAUGCACAGUUCAAUCAAUUUGAAUGUGAGACAUUUUUUUCCAAUCGUGCCCCUUUGACCGAUAUCAAAUCUUAAUUGUUGUCUAUGGUGAUGUGAAAAGAAUCUGUGGGUCCAUGUAAAAUGUAAGCUCUUUUUCAUGCUGUUGCCAAGCACGCGCCUAUUUAUGGCCAUCAAAAUUUUUGGUGCUAUCCACGCACCUUUUUUUUGGAUGUCUAUUUAUUGCUUUUGUGGGUUCCAUCAUACUUGUUUUUUAUUUUAUCAAUGUCUCUUUUGAGGCUACAAAUGGAAUGUUAGAGAAAAAAUUGUAGUGUGGCUCAAAUUUUGGGACAUGAAAAAAGGUGAACUAUGAUAAUAACAAUGGGACGGAGGGAGUACAAUUUUAAGCAUUAUUAUUAGCAAAACAUGGGACAUCACAAAUUUGGAACCAAUCUAGGCAUAAUUAUUAUAGACAGUGUAGAAAUCAUAAGUGCCAGAGCUCAUGGUAGAGAAACAAGUGCAGAAAUCCAGACCCUUCAACAUGAUCGUGAGUCGUGACCAAGUCUAUUCAAAGUUUGCUAGAUCAAUUUCAAACAUAAUAACCACCACAAAUCCCGUUACAACCAAUGCAGAAGUAGAUAGACAGUAAAAAGGAUAAAAGACAAUACACCACUACUGGAACAACGGGGCGAUUAAGAGUAAAACCAUCAAUCGAAUGCAUCUAUGGAAACCUUUUUACAGAAUUAGCAAUGUGGAUCACCUUCCAGAUUCCAAAGAAAAGGAAAAGGAAAAGGAAAAGGAAAAGAACCUCAGUUCAUACCUGCAAAAUCUAGGGAGAAAAUCCAGUGGACUGCACUAAGAAUGUUGGACACGGUAGGGAGUGGUGGAGAUGGCCUCA